rnacentral:rRNA from 1 species
UUGUAUGAAAGGUUAAAUGAGGGCCUAACUGUCUCCUGUGGCCAAUCAAUGAAAAGGAUCUUACAGUACAAACGCUGUAAUAUACCUAUAAGACGAGAAGACCCUGUGGAGCUUUAAACCCCUACACUAACUAAUUAUUCCACCAACAUUAUUAGCAUAGUGUAAAUUUUAAGUUGGGGCGACUGUGGAGUAAAAAAAACCCUCCAUGAGACACGGCUGAUACCCGUCCCACCAGGCCAACAAGCCUAAUCAAGCUACAUGACCCAGUUCAAACUGAAUAUCGAACCAAGUUACCCCAGGGAUAACAGCGCCAUCCCCUUAAAGAGUCCACAUCGCCAAGGGGGUUUACG